rfam:Candidatus Lloydbacteria bacterium RIFCSPHIGHO2_01_FTLL_49_22 rifcsphigho2_01_scaffold_2638, whole genome shotgun sequence.
GUCUCCGUCGUUCAAUGGAUAGGACAAGAGUUUGCGGAACUCUAAAUAUAGGUUCGAUUCCUAUCGGGGGCA